AAAAUAUUUUGGUUUAAAUUAUAAGUUAUAAUUGGAUAGAUUUGUGCUAGCAUCUGCGGUUAUUCAAAUAAUUUAAAUUUAAAAUUUUGGUU